CGUUGUUAGAUUUGACAAAAAUUUUGCGACCCUCUCAUUUCCUCCAUUUUUGCAACAUUAUUUUUUUCGUUCCCUGUUAUGAGCCUUUGAAGUGGGAUAAGAAGGAGAAGGUUGGUGUGCACCCCACAAUUUGGGAGGAUAAGUUGAGCAUGGAGAGUAGGGAUUGGUGCAAACGUCAACGCAAUAUUAUUGAAGCUGUCAAUAACCCCACCUGCUUCCGGUCGUGGCAACACACUUGUAUAUGGAUGUAAGAAGCUGCACCUGAAAAACGAAGAGUAUUUCACGCGUUAUGUAGUCGCGACCCAUGAAUUGUUAGUAAGAACAAACCAAAUGCAAGAAAGGAGAGUGAAAGCGAAGAGGAUGGUGAGGAGCAAAAUGGAGGAAAUGAGAGUGAAGCCGCGGAGGAUGAUGAAAGGAGAACAAAGUCCAGCGAAGACCAGUAUCACGGUCUUAUUAUGCCUGGGGAACCCAAAUGGGAACUUCGACCAAGGGUGAAGGGGAAGGGUGUACUUAGAUAUGGGCAUCUUACGUAUUUGUAAUUAAAGUUGUUGUAGUUGGAUAUGUGCAAACUCAGUUUUGCAAACACAUUUUGAUGCAGUGCCUUGCACAUUUUGUGGACUACGGUUGAUGCUUUCAUUAUUCAUUAUCCAUUUCGAUUUUGUGUA